AAUAAUACAUACUUUUCAGCAACUUGGUAGAUUCAGUACGGUGAAGAUAAAAGAGGAAAAUAAAAUAAAAUAUAUUAGCGCUAUGUUAUCACCAGCUCUUAAACCUAUUUCUAAUCCUCACAAUUGUUGCAUCACCUAACACUCUUCUCGGUUAAGAUUAUUUCUAUACAACUUUUCAAUCAUAACACUUAAGUAUGUUUUUUUUUCAUGUGGCAAUAUCUUUUGUUUUUCAUUCCCAUUAUUACCGGCAGGCAUCCUAGUUUAGUCCAAACAUGAAUUAGAUAUAAGCAAUUCUGGUCGAACAAUUGAUAAUAUAAAGAGUUUAAAGAAAGCAGUGAGCAAUUGGAAUUACAUUGCUUUUGUAAAGUUGUUGCAUUGUUUCUCGUAAAGUUAUCAGCCAAUACAACAUAUACAUAUGAAUGACUGAUGUGUACUGAUGGGAAGUGGAAGCAGGGUAUGAAUGGGAUAAUAUUCCUUUCAGUUAUUAUUUUGUUCGUUUAUUUUCCUUCAUUUUUUUCCUACUGCCCCAUCGUAAAAGCAUAUGAAAAUGAGUAUUUGUUGGAUUGUUUUCAGGCAUAGUCUGUGCAUAUGUAAUGAAGUUGUUUUUCAGCUUCAGUAAUUAUACAUAAUCGAAAAGAUACUUUUUAUGAGCCAAAUUAUUCAGCUACUAUUAAUUUUUCACCGAGAUUAUUUGAAUUUCUUUGUAAAUAUUUGGUAGCCACCCACCUCAUUUUUUUGUCUCUUUAAUCAUGUUAGUAAUCUGCCUUAGUUCUGCAGUUUUAUGCUGCCUGCUGUGAUACAUAAGGAUACAGUUCAGUACUCUGAAAUACUUGGAGCGGUCAAUGUUUGUAUAUCGGGAAAAUACCUUUAAAAGUAUAUAAAUUAUAAGGAUGAAGUAUCUGAUAAAAGAUGUGAAGGAUUCCAAGCUGGAUUAUUUGAUAAAUUUGUCAAGAAAAGCUUGGACCAUUUGGAUACUAUAUAUAAUCCUAGUAACAACUCUGGCUUUUGUGGCUAAUUUUGUCACCAUUAAUGGAACUUUUAUAUUUGAUGAUCGCGAGGCCUUAGUGAAAAAUGCAGAUGUCAACAAUCUAAGAACACCGAUAACAAGUGUGUUCGUUCAUGAUUUUUGGGGCAAGAAUAUCUCUUCUCCCGAAAGUCAUAAAUCUUAUCGACCAAUUACCAUUAUUGCAUUAAGGCUACAGCAUCAUUUAUUUGGGUCUCUAAAUCCCAAAAGCUUUCAUAAAUUUAAUAUUGGACUCCACGUUCUAAACUCCUUAAUGUGCCUAGGCGUAACAGCCACAAUUUGGGGAAAGACGGAGAAGUAUAAAGAAGGAAUUUUACUUGCUUCUUCCCUUUUUGCUGUGCAUCCAAUUCACACGGAAACAGUCGCCUCAGUUGUUGGACAAGCGGACAUGUUGUAUACAAUGUUCUGUUUGCUCGGUUUUCUAAUUUAUCAUUAUGGUCUCAUGGCAAAUAAGAGCAACAAAGGAAAUACAUUUCUACGUAAUGUAAACUGCCUUCUGAUUGUAUCAAUGCUGACAGUUUUAUCUACAUUCAGCAAGGAACAAGGAAUUAUGACAAUGGUUAUAUGUUCACUGUAUGAUAUUGUACUUCAUCAGUCGGAAAUAACGUCAAGUUUCCGUCAAAUUUGGCCGAAUGUGAAGUAUUCAACGAAAGUCAAAACGAAACGAAUAAAAGAAAAUUUAGUGACCAUAUUUUACCUUUUGUUCCGAAUAUUCUUUAUGAUAGCAAUAACUCUUCUGUUGCUAACAUUCCGGCUCAAGCUAAUGAUAAAACAACCAGUAUUUAAUAAAGAGGAUAAUCCACAUUCUUUCGUAGACAAUUUUCUUUUACGGGUUGUAAAUUACAGCUAUAUUUAUUGGUUGAACACAUGGCUUCUUUUAGACCCUUGGUGGCUCUGCUGUGAUUGGUCAUAUGAUUGCAUCCCUAUUUUGAAUUCGCCUUGGAAUUUCCGAACUUUAGCAGCCCUAUCGUUCUGGAUCCUAAUAGUUAUGAUGAGUUACAGAAUUCUCCUCUUUCGAAACACGUCAAUGGCACGGAAAAUUUCGUUAUCUCUAAUAUUUUGGAUCGUUCCGUUUACUCCGGCAAGCAACAUGUUCUUUCGAGUUGGCUUUGUUAUUGCUGAAAGAAAUCUCUACUUACCCAGCCUUGGCUUCUGUAUAGCUAUUUCACUUGGCUUCUGUAUAUUACGAGAAAGUCACCCACAUCGGUCGCAGAUUCUUAAAACAGCAGCUGUAUGCCUGACUUUUGUAUUCAUCGUCAGGUCUCACCAGAGAAACAAAGAUUGGCUCGAUGGGAAACGAUUAUUUCAUUCAGGCCUUAAAGUGUGCCCAAAUAAUGCCAAGCUUUACUUUAAUAUUGCUGUUGGAUACCUUCAUCAUAAAGAAUAUAAAUCUGCGAAGAAUUACUUUUCUGAGACUGUAAGGAAAUAUCCUCAAUUUGUGUCUGCUUACACUGGUUUGGGACAAUGCUAUAUGAACCUGGAGAAUUAUACAAAAGCAGAGUAUUAUUAUCAAAUAGCUACGAAUAUCAGUUCACAGAUAGAUCGAGAAGACGUCUUAUGGAACUUGUGUUACGUAAAAUUCAAAUUGAAGAAAACGGAAGAAGCCAAACAUUGUAUAAACACUUUGAUACACAAUUACCCAUUGUCGGCGUACAAGGCAUAUUAUGGGCUUGCAGAAAUAUAUUAUUAUAAUGGUGAAAAACAAAAGGCUCUGCAAGCAUGGAUGAAAGCAAUUGAAUUAAAUUCCACAGAUUCAGCAGCUUGGGAAAGUGUUGUUGUUUACCUACACCAUCUGAAUCAUUAAAAUGGAAUGUCAAGUUAAGAAAAACGAGCAUUUUCGACACCUCCUUCUUUUUGCUUUUAAUCAAGGUCCUAAGGCCGCAAAAGCUUCUCGCGACAUUUGUGCUGUGUAUGCCAUAGCUGAGAAUUGCUAAGAAGUUUUACAGUUUUGGAUGCGAAUGUAAAACACGAGAUUUCAUCAUUAGUGCUUCCCACAUACAAUCACGUCUCGCUUGAACCAUGUUUAAAAAUGCUUGGUCUUCCUCUUUUGAAAAGCCGCUCGAACUUAUAAAAGGAGCGAUAUGCACACAGGCGAAUAAAUAAGUGCAGAACAAGGCAAAAGAAAAUAAUAGUACUCGAAUACCAAAGGUAGUGCAAUAUACUUUUUAU